AGGGCUGAUCUUUCUAAGUUCAAUUGUAAAAAUCUCAAUUUAAAAAACUGACAUUAUGACCAUGUUUUGUGGUCAGGGUCACAUAUGAAAAAAACAGGGUCAAGUUCAACUUCAAUAGCUGCUGGACAGGCAAAUUUGUACUUGAGAAGCACUGGAUCUGUGUUAUUUUGUCUUUCAAAGAUGCACUUUGGUGUUAUUAAAAGUGAGGGCUGUGGAAGUGGAGAGGCUGCAGUUGAAACAGUCUCUCACCCACUCACGCUGAGGAGCUUUGAGGGCCGAGGGCUGUUAAAUGAGGAGGGAGAUAAUGAGAGAGAGAGAGGCAGCAGCAUGGUAAUCAGCAGGCCUCAAUUUCCUCACUGAUGCUCCAGAUUAUGCUGGCCUCACAGGCUCCCUUAGGCAUGUUUCAUCUUCUCUUUCCCCUCAGAGAACGCUUGGGAUGAAAGGCAGAAGUUCUCCAUCCAGCCUGCUGACAAACCCCAUGCUGAGGCCACUGCGCAAAACUCUGCUGAUAAUCAAGUGGUGAUAUUCAGUGCCAGUGGAGGUUGCCCUGGAUACAUGCUAAAAGACUACAUAAUCUUUGCAUGAUAGUCUGCAAAGCACUAUGAGACUCUUUAUAUUUCAUUUCGCUGGUGUAUUGAAGCAACCUGAAGUAUGGAGCAUUCUGUCUGGUCAAUAAUAGCCUAUAGUGAUGGUGCAACAAUGACAAAUCAAAAAAUGACUGGAGAGGAGUUUGAAGUCCUUCAGAUGGUUUUGUGUGGGAGUCGGGCGUGUGAUAGUGAAAAAUUGUUUUUCAGAAACCUCUGUGUGGGCUGAGCCAGAAAUGACCGUCUGAGCUUCUGGGAUUGCACUUGAAAUCUACCUUUGUACUUUCACCACAAUAAACUAGAGAUUUGCAAAUGAAA